GUGGAGCCUGGCGACUGCUUUGGGAAGUCCUGCUGGCAGGCACUCUGCCCCUGGGGGUGUGCAAAGAGUUGUCCAGUUACCUUGAUCUUCUCACAGCCUCCUCCCCAGGGCACCAGGAGAGACCAGGAUUGGAGGACGGUAAAGAACACACUUCCCAGAGGAUUCUUGGAGGUGGCUUCCUCCAGGCAGUAAAUCUACAGCCCAGGCUCCCUGCAUCUUAUGGCUCCAAUCACUUUGGAUCUCAUCGUCGCCUGCACAUUGCCAUACACAGGGAAGGAGAAGAGAUGGAGAAGGCAAAGACUUUCUGAAAGCCGUGGCUAAAAGCUGGCAUGUGUCACAUCAGCUCACAUUCCAUUGUAGAGACGGGGUUUCACCGUGUUAGCCAGGAUGGUCUUGAUAUCCUGACCUCGUGAUCCGCCCGCCUUGGCUUCCCAAAGUGCUGGGAUUACAGGCGUGAGCCACCGCUCCCGGCCUGGCAGGCAUUCUUGAGGCAAACGGGAAAUGGGUGAACGGGAGGAACAUUGGCAGCACUUGUGGUCUGCACCAAGAACUGAAUCGAAUUUCCAUGUGUUAUUGAAUGUUCACAAAGACCUUGUACAGCGAGUGUUACUACCUCUGGUCAAUGAUUCAACUCAAGGCUCAGAAAAGUCAAGUGUCUUGUCCAGGGACACUUAGUCAGAAGUGAAUCCAAGGUUUAAGCUCAAGUCUGCCUAACUCUGAAUUUCACAGCCUUUUGCUACAUAUGGCGAAUAAUAUAUCCCUGAGCACUAAAGGCAGACUCCAAGGAUCUUGUCUCUGCAAUCAUCAUUCUGGCCAUAAUUUAUGAAAAGCAACCCAAAGUAUGUGAUGUAAUAAAAAGUACUAUCUAUGAGUUUACCCUUCCAAAAAUUGAACUGAAUUCUGAGCUCUAAAUUUGGAAUCAAAAGAACUUUUCUCUGCACUAAUCAUUUGGAACAUCACUUAAAGAAAACAACGAAAAACUGGUGUCCCCUGAGAGAAAGCAAUACAAAACAUUAUGCAUAAAGAAAUCCUUCCAAAAAAUAAACCAAAUCCAGUCAAAUCUCUAGUUUUGACUCCUAGCUUACCGGAAAUACGUGAUGGGAAAAAAAUGAAAUGACACCACUAUGAUUCAAUCAGCCAAAUCCAGCAUAUGCAAAUUUCUACCAGAUAAAUGGUUUAGUUUCUUCCCCAAACAAAUGGCACAAGGAAACGGAGAUGGAGUUCCCCUCUGCCACCCAGACUGGAGUACAGUGGCGCGAUCCUGGCCAUCGCAACCUCCGCCUCCCAGGUUCAAGCGAUUCUCCUGCCUCAGUCUCUCAAGUAGCUGGGAUAUGGGCACCUGUCACCAUGCCCAGCUAAUUUUUUUAAAAUUUAUUUUUAGUAGAGAUGGGGUUUCACCAUGUUGGCCAGGCUGGUCUCGAACUCCUGACCUCAGGUGAUCCACCCACACUUUUUAUUGUUUGCCUACACUUUCUAGACUUGCUUCAUCAGCCUACUCCGUUUCUGGUUGAUAUGGUUUGGUUGUGUCCCCACUCAAAUCUUAUCUAGAAGUGUAAUCCCCAAGUCUCAAGGGAGGGACCUGGUGUGAGGUGAUUGGAUUGGGGGGUGGUUCCCGCCAUGCUGUUCUCAUGAUAGUGAGUGAGUUCUCAUGAGAUCUGAUGGUUUUAUAAGGCAGUUUUCCCUAUUCUUGCUCACUCUUCUCUCUCUUUCUGCCAUGUGAAGAAGGUCCUUGCUUCCCCUUCACCUUCUACCAUGAUUGUAAGUUUCCUGAGGCCUCCCCUCAGCCAUGCACAACUGUGAGUCAAUUAAACCUCUUUCCUUUAUAAAUUACUCAGUCUCAGGUCGUAUCUUUAUAGCAGUAUGAGAAUGGACUAAUACACUGGUCUAUCCUUCAUCCAAAUUAACUACCUGCACUGCAGUCCUUGUCUCAGGCUCUGCUUUGAGGGACCCCAACUGUGACAGCCGCAUUAGAAUGCAUCACAUACUGCAGUGAAAUUCUAGAGUGGGUGUUGUCAGGUGGUGAUGAUUGUUAGAUAUGUCAGUCUGUUUUCAGGCUGCUGAUAAAGACAUACCUGAGACUGGGUAAUUUAUAAAGGAAAAGGAGGUUUAAUGGACUCACAGUUCCACAUGGCUAGGGAGGCCUCACAAUCAUGGCAGAAGGUGAAAGGCACGGCUUACAGGGUGGCAGCAAGAGAGGAAAUGAGAACCAAGUGAAAAGGUUUCUGCUUAUAAAACCAUCAGCUCUUGUGAGACUUAUUCAUUACAAUGAGAACAAUAUGGGGGAAACUGCCCCCAUGAUUCAAUUAUCUCCCACCAGAUCCCUCCUACAACACAUGAGAAUUGUGGGUGCUACAAUUCAAGAUGAGAUUUGAGUGGGGACAAAGUCAAACCAUAUCAUUAGAUAGGACACUGGAGAAAGGCAAGAAAGAAAAGACAUCUGAAGAAUGAAGGGAGCCAAAGAAAUGCCAACAUUUUGCUUUUUGAAGAAAAGCUAAAUUAAAGUCAAAAUGGAUUUAUCAAUUUCCUUGGGUUCGUGAAUGUACAGAACUUUAUUAAGACUGUCAUGCUGUCAUCAUGGCUGGAUCUGAUACGGCCACCGUGGACCUUGAGGUGACCUCGGGAAUGGAGACAGUGCAUGGGAGAGAAUCACAUUGGAAGGGGCCUGGGUUUCUGAAGACCCUGUAAGACAGAUCUCCUUGCAGCCCUGACUGCCCACAUUAGGGCUUUUAUGUUAGGGUGAAGUUACCUUGCAUUGUCAUAUAAGCAAUUGCUAUUUGUGGUGUCUUGCAAAUAAACCUAUUCUGAUCUAGUAUGUUUCCU
rnacentral:lncRNA from 1 species